CGUGAUUAAUUCCAAAUUUUUAACACAUUAAAAUGAUCUAAUGCAAAUAAACUACUUAAGCAUGUGAAGUUGCGUCAUUAAUGUAUUUCACCACAUGCAGUUAGAUGAUCUUGAAAGUCAGGAGUUAAUCAUUCAGAGAAUCUACAAAGGCACAAGCACCUGAAACCCGGUAGGAUGAAAGUGAUAUGUGGCAAAGAGAAGUUCUUCACUUUUUCUUUUUCCAGUAACAUGAGAUCAACCUGUACAAAAUUCCGUCAGUGUGAACAGGAGCAAGUCAAAACUGUCUGAUUUUCACUACGUGAACUCACAAGAGCAUUGACGAGGAGGCACUGCUGCUUAUGCAAGUAAUCAGAUUUUUCUCCAGUUUUACACCAAAGACUGAAAUGACUGAGAAUGUGAAUGUUAUAUCAAGCAUGCACAGUAAUACGAUUUUCCAAGUCAACAAGGUGGACGAUUUCCUUUUGGUGCUCAGAUGAAUAAAUUACCUUAACUAAUGGAUUUUACAAAA